AGGGUUUGAUCAUGGCUCAGAACGUACGCUGACGGAAUGGAUUAGGCAUGCAAGUCGUACGAGCGAACUCUUCGGAGUGAGCGAGUGGCGAACGGGUGAGUAAUGCGUGGAUGACCUACCCUGAUGAGGGGGAUAACCAUUCGAAAGGAUGGCUAAUACCGCAUACGGUCGCCAGGUUUUCCUGGUGAUCAAAGCUGGCUUCGGCUGGCGCUUCAGGAGGGGUCCACGUGCUAUUAGUUUGUUGGUGGGGUAACGGCCUACCAAGACUAUGAUGGCUAGCCGGCCUGAGAGGGUGUCCGGCCACACUGGGACUGAGACACUGCCCAGACUCCUACGGGAGGCUGCAGUCGAGAAUCUUCCACUAAUGCGCGAAAGCGUGAUGGAGCAAUUCCGUGUGAGCGAUGAAGGCCUUAGGGUUGUAAAGCUCUGUUGGAGGGGCGUAAUCCCCGGGAGAGAAUAUCUUUCCGGGUUGAACUCCCCUCGGAGGAAGCAGCGGCUAAAUUCGUGCCAGCAGCCGCGGUAAUACGAAUGCUGCAAGCGUAGUUCGGAAUCACUGGGCAUAAAGGGCACGUAGGCGGCCCGACAAGUCAGUUGUGAAAUCCCCCGGCUUAACCGAGGAACUGCAACUGAUACUGUCGAGCUUGAGUACGG
rnacentral:rRNA from 1 species